CAGUCGCCGCGGGAAAACGAAGGGUGCAAGCGUUACUCGGAAUUACUGGGCGUAAAGCGUGCGUAGGUGGUGGUUUAAGUCCGUUGUGAAAGCCCUGGGCUCAACCUGGGAAUUGCAGUGGAUACUGGGUCACUAGAGUGUGGUAGAGGAUAGUGGAAUUUCCGGUGUAGCAGUGAAAUGCGUAGAGAUCGGAAGGAACAUCUGUGGCGAAGGCGACUAUCUGGGCCAACACUGACACUGAGGCACGAAAGCGUGGGGAGCAAACAGGAUUAGAUACCCGUGUAGUCCCUGUCUCUUAUAC
rnacentral:rRNA from 1 species